rnacentral:rRNA from 1 species
CGAACGCUGGCGGCGUGCUUAACACAUGCAAGUCGAGCGGAAAGGCCCUGCUUUUGUGGGGUGCUCGAGUGGCGAACGGGUGAGUAACACGUGAGUAACCUGCCCUUGACUUUGGGAUAACUUCAGGAAACUGGGGCUAAUACCGGAUAGGAGCUCCUGCUGCAUGGUGGGGGUUGGAAAGUUUCGGCGGUUGGGGAUGGACUCGCGGCUUAUCAGCUUGUUGGUGGGGUAGUGGCUUACCAAGGCUUUGACGGGUAGCCGGCCUGAGAGGGUGACCGGCCACAUUGGGACUGAGAUACGGCCCAGACUCCUACGGGAGGCAGCAGUGGGGAAUAUUGCACAAUGGGCGGAAGCCUGAUGCAGCAACGCCGCGUGCGGGAUGACGGCCUUCGGGUUGUAAACCGCUUUCGCCUGUGACGAAGCGUUAGUGACGGUAAUGGGUAAAGAAGCACCGGCUAACUACGUG